AAAAGCACCAUUGCCGCUGGGCAUCGAU
rnacentral:sRNA from 1 species